GAUGAACGCUGGCGGCGUGCCUAAUACAUGCAAGUCGAGCGAACAGACGAGGAGCUUACUCCUCUGACGUUAGCGGCGGACGGGAGAGUAACACGUGGAUAACCUACCUAUAAGUCUGGGAUCACUUCGGGAAACCGGAGCUAAUACCGGAUAACAUGUUGAACCGCGUGGUUCAACAGUGAAAGACGGUCUUGCUGUCACUUAUCGCUGGUUCCGCGUCGCAUUAGCUAGUUGGUAAGGUAACGGCUUUCCACGGCAACGAUGCGUAGCCGACGUGAGAGAGGGGUCGCCCGCCCUGGAAGGGAGACACGGUCCAGGGGACUAAGGGAGGGCGCAGUAGGGAACGUGACGCAGUGGGGGAAAGCCUGACGGAGCAACGCGGCGUGAGAUGAGACGGUGUUCGGAGCGUGAAACUCUGUUAUUAGGGGAGAACAAAUGUGUAAGUAACUAUGCACGUCUUGACGGUACCUGGUCAGAAAGCCACGGCUAACUACGUG
rnacentral:rRNA from 1 species